GAUGAACGCUGGCGGCGUGCCUCAAACAUGCAAGUCGAGCGGGGCUAUGUAAUAUCGCAAGGUAGAACAUAGCCUAGCGGCGAACGGGUGAGUAACACGUGGGUAACCUGCCUGGAAGACAGGGAUAACGAUUCGAAAGGGUCGCUAAUACCUGAUAAUAUCCUUUCAUCGCAUGGUGAUAGGAAGAAAGGGGAAACCCGCUUUCAGAUGGGCCCGCGUCCCAUCAGCUAGCUGGUAAGGUAAAGGCUUACCAAGGCGACGACGGGUAGCCGGUCUGAGAGGAUGUACGGCCACACUGGGACUGAGAUACGGCCCAGACUCCUACGGGAGGCAGCAGUUGGGAAUCUUAGGCAAUGGACGAAAGUCUGACCUAGCGACGCCGCGUGAGGGAAGAAGGCCUUCGGGUUGUAAACCUCUGUCAUGGGGGAAGAAGUAAGUGACGGUACCCCAAGAGGAAGCCCCUGCUAACUACGUGCCAGCAGCCGCGGAAAGCUACGUAGA
rnacentral:rRNA from 1 species